AGUCAAAUAGCUUAAUCCCAAAGCACAAAUCUUUUAAAUUUGAAGAUGUAUCCACUUUGACUACC
rnacentral:tRNA from 1 species